rnacentral:tRNA from 1 species
AGUGGGGUAGAGGAAUUGGUCAACUCAUCAGGCUCAUGACCUGAAGACUGCAGGUUCGAAUCAUGUCCCCGCCU